rnacentral:tRNA from 1 species
UGUGUUGUAGCUCAGUGGUACAGCACUUGCCUAUCUUGUAUAAGGCCCUGGGUUUGAUUCCCAGCACCUCAA